CCUACGGGCGGCAGCAGUGGGGAAUAUUGGACAAUGGGCGAAAGCCUGAUCCAGCCAUGCCGCGUGUGUGAAGAAGGCCUUCGGGUUGUAAAGCACUUUCAGUGGGGAAGAAAGCCUUGGGGCUAAUACCCUCGAGGAAGGACAUCACCCACAGAAGAAGCACCGGCUAACUCCGUGCCAGCAGCCGCGGUAAUACGGAGGGUGCGAGCGUUAAUCGGAAUUACUGGGCGGAAAGCGCGCGUAGGCGGUCUGAUAAGCCGGUUGUGAAAGCCCCGGGCUCAACCUGGGAACGGCAUCCGGAACUGUCAGGCUAGAGUGCAGGAGAGGAAGGUAGAAUUCCCGGUGUAGCGGUGAAAUGCGUAGAGAUCGGGAGGAAUACCAGUGGCGAAGGCGGCCUUCUGGACUGACACUGACGCUGAGGUGCGAAAGCGUGGGUAGCAAACAGGAUUAGAUACCCGAGUAGUC
rnacentral:rRNA from 1 species